rnacentral:lncRNA from 1 species
AAUGGCUUUACUGGGAGCACCCCUCUUCCUCCACCCUCCUCUUCCUUGCAAUCCCCAGCUUUCCCCGGAGUGGGGUGGGGUGGAGGGGGUGGACUUAAUGAAACCAAAUGGAAACAUUCCAUUUGUAACAACAAAUAUUUUCCACCAGGACUUUUCUUACACUUAAAUGAACGACCUUGGAAUCCCUGGAAAUGGCUGUAGAGGAGGAGGCGGGGUUUCCCUUCUAGGAGUUUUGAAUUUUGCAGAAAGAUGGGCCCCUAGAGGCUGCCCAUGUGCUCCCUUAGCCCCGGCUGCCCCUUCAGGUGAGUCCCACCUACUGCCCCAUCUGCCUCAUCUCCCCUGUACCCAUACCUCUUGGCUCUGUGGGCCAGACCUCAUCCCUCGGAAACCUCCAGGGGAGAACAAAGGGCUCCUCCAACUCUGGCCAGGAAAGUCAGGAAAGGAUGCAUCUGUCUACCUUUGGAGCCCUCGAUUCAAAGACCCACCUGCCUGGAAGGGGCUGGAGAGGUGUGGAGAUGGGAGUUCCAAGUGCCAAGGGUCACCCGGUGCGGAGGCCUGAAUAAUAUUCCAUUUUAUGGAUUUACCACAUUUUGUUGAUCUGUUCACCUGUUGGGGACACUCGGGUCGCUUCCACCUUUUGGCUGUUGUGAACGAUGCUGCCGAGAACAUGACUUCUAGAAGCCACCUGUGUUCUUUGACCCAUGGCCCCCUUUCAAUGUCAAGGCCAGCGACGCCCUGGAGUCUGACGCCACUCCUGCUGUCUUGCCUCCCUUUCCACACUGAAUAGAGCCUUGUGAUGACACUGGGCCCACCCAGAUAACCCAGGAUCGUCUCUCAUCUCAAGAUCCCUACUUUACUCACCUCUGCAAAAUCCCUUUGGCCAUGGAAGGCUGCUGCGUGGUCUCUGGCGUGAGUCAGGCAACCAGGUUGGCUACCACGACAAGAUGCAAAAUAACAGUGACGUAGACAUGGGGAGAUUUUAGUCGUUGCUCAACAAAUACAGUCUCUUCCUCACCAACGUGUAAGUUCCAGAGGUCAAGGAUGGUGCCUGCGUGGAAUCCCUGUGUGUCCCAGGAACACGCACCUGGUCAAUGAAUAAAUGAAUGAGCCAUGCAUGCUUGCAGGUGUUUGUGGAGUGUUUGUUACUGGGCACACUUGUUGCUGGGAUACACAGCUGAGCAAAACACAACCGGAUCCUCCUGCACAUUGCUUACAGGGAGACAAACUUUGCUCAUAUAAUCACUCCUGAACAAGCAGAAUCCAGUACACAGGUGGGCCCUGUGGAAGCACCGUCAAGGCCUUGCUGCAUGCCCUGUUAGGAGGAAGGCCCUGCCACCCCACACUGCCCCAAAGGAACACUUCCGGGAUAGUGCAAGCAUUCCUGGGAUCUUCCUGGGCCCACGGCGCUGGGACCCUGCCCCAGACUCCACUGCUCACAUUGUCACGAGCCGCAGCCCUCUCUGUGUGCCCACAACACCGGUUCUCAACUGGGCACAGCUCCUUCUCCUGGCUUUGCCUGGGCUGUGCUUUACACCUGAAGUGGAACCCCUGCCCUUCCAUCCUGCUCUCCUUCGAGGCCUGCAGAUGCCAUGUCCUCCACACCUGAGGAUUCUGGAGGCCGGCAGGGCUUCUGGACAAAUCUGAGCACUUGCACUCUGGAGGCCCUGCCACAGUGGCUACUGCCCACCACGGACGAUUCUGUAGACCCUGCUUAGAAGAGACUGGCCAUCCAGAACAGCUCUGCUCCCACCCGGAGACUCAAGACUCCGCUCAGGAGUUCAGACUGUCUGGCAGCAGCUGUGGACUGCAGGGGUGAUGGCCGUGGCUGGCACCUGAGGCUGCAGCUCUCAAGACCUUGGUCCGAAGGAUGGGGGCUUCCACUCCCAACUGUGAGCUCACUUGCUGGGAAACUUGCCACACCCAGUGUCUGGACAUCAGAUGAACUUGCAGCCUCUUCCUUCCUUUCCCUUUCCGGUAUUUUAUUGGUGGAGGGCCAUGGGCAUCAGACAUGUGGGUUUUGGGGAGGGAGGUAACGGCAGAGUGGGGUUGGUGAGUAUCAGCCCCUCCUGCGAGCUGUGGGUGCUGCUGUGUGUUAGACAUCCCUGCUAGCUCCCUGUCCCACAUGAGCCCCCGGGUCCUCACUGGGCACUGGCCUCAUUCUCUUCUGGGAUCUCCCAGGCCCUGCACACAGUAAGUGGGCAGCACACAGUCACGAUGGCCACUUUUAACCCCACCGCCUUGAUCAAGACCUGGAGAGCUGGGGCAUCAGAGCGGGGGUCGACAGACUCGGAGGCCAACUGGCCUGGGGUUGAGCUAUUGUUGCCGACAUGGAACCCGAUCCAGUGAUUAAUGGGUCCAGGAAAUGAUCCCUAGCUCAGCUGGCCAGUCCGGGCAGCCUGGCAGCACGGGCCCACGCG